GUGGGUAGUUAGAGCUAGAGUAAGACAUAUCGCGCUUUUCUAUUAACCUACAUAUAUCAGUAUAGAAUAAGUAAGAUAAAAACCUAUAUCAAUAUUAAUGAGAGAAAAACGGUGAUAUAUACAGUACUUGUGAAUUUUUCUUACGUACUGACCUUGUUGUUAAGUACUGUUAGUAUAUUGAAAGGUGUGUUCGUGAUAUUAAAAUGUGAUAUUAAACUUAAAUAUUUCUGUGUACAUAAGGGCGUGGUAGGGGAUUGGACCAUGGAUGAGCCAGAGACCGGCGAGAUGUUAGGGAUCCUUGACGGUUCAGCCGACGAAGUCUCGCCGGCAGCUAGCAGGAUCAUUAGAGUGUUCUUAAGUUCAACGUUUUCAGAUAUGGCAGAAGAAAGAAAUAUGCUGUUACAAGAUGUGUACCCAAAGAUCUCUGACUAUGCCAAGAGAAAAUAUGGCGUCAGUUUUCAGAUGGUUGACAUGCGAUGGGGUGUUACAAACGAAGCCCAGAACGAUCACAUGACGUCCGCAUGCUGUCUGAAAGAAAUACAAAACUGUCAGAAUGUCUCUGUAGGGCCGAACUUUGUGAUGCUUAUCGGACAAAAGUAUGGCUACCGCCCUAUUCCUGCAUCCAUUGACGCAGAUGAGUUUGAAAUCAUUCGCAAGAACCUUGAGGACGAUGAAGACGAUCUAAGUGUUCUAGACAUUUGGUAUCUUAGAGAUGAAAACAUCGUGCCGCCGCAAUACGUUCUUCAGCCCAUCGACAGUAUACUGAAAAACUACGAUAGCUCGGAUGAUGAUCUUAAGAGAGCUUCCCGUGAUGAGUGGCAAGAUACAUUCGAGGAGCUUAGAGAUAUUCUAAUGGCUGGUGCUGAAAAAGCGUUUGAUAAUGGCGAAAUAGGUGGACAAACAAAGGAGAAAUAUUUUAAUUCAGUGACGCAAGAAGAAAUAGAACUUGGUCUGCUUCAGAGCUCGAAAGACAUAAACAAGAAAUGUUUAUGCUUCAUUCGAGAUAUAGAGGAUUUGCACCAAAACGUCCAUCACCACAGAGCAAUGAAAUUCAUUGACUUACUUCCGGCUGAAAAUGGCAGUUCCGCACAAAUUGAUACUGAGGCUCAGGAUAGGCUAAAAUUACUAAGAGACAAUGAUAUCCCAGAGAAACUGCACCAAGACAAUAUAGUUCGUCUUUCAACACAUUGGAGUGACAGUGCUGGUGUCAGUGUUUCGGAUAACUCUGAUUAUUUAAACAAAUUGGCCCAAGCGUUCUAUGACAAGAUGACUUGGCUGAUUGAUUCAAAUUUGGAGGAGAAAAAUUUGAACGAAGAUGAGCAAACAAAAGAAAUACGCCAGAGUCUUCUUAUACGCAACAAAUGGAGUAGCAUCUUCUUUGGCAGAAGUGAAGUUCUGAAAGCUAUCGAGAAGUACAUAAAAGAUGGUUCGAACAAUCGUCCUCUGGCAGUGUAUGGUGAAAGUGGAACUGGAAAAACUGCAGUUAUUGCAAAGUGUGCGAAGGAAGCGAAGAAAUGGGUCAUAUCAGCAAAACCACCUGUAAUCAUUAUGAGAUUUCUCGGGACAAGCCCUAGAAGUUCACAUAUUCUACUGACACUGCAGAGUCUGUGCUCUCAAAUUUGUGAUGCCUAUGGCAUGGAUAAAUCUAACAUUCCUUCAGAAUUCAAGGAGCUAGUCACAUUUUUCUCUGACAUUUUAAAGGAGGUAACUUCACACCCGAGACCUCUGCUCAUCUUUCUUGACUCCGUGGACCAGUUGUCUGUUUCUUUUGAUCCGUUUACAUUCCAAUGGCUACCAAAGUAUUUGCCUAAAAAUGUCAAAAUCGUCAUAUCCUUUGUUCCAUCUGUGUUUACUUUGCUCAGACGAUUCAAAACACAUCUGGGAGACAAAGCAUCCAAUGCGGAACCUCUUCCGGCAUUAGGUGACGUACAUAGUAUGGAUAUUAUCAAUGCUCGGCUUUCCGAGUGUGGUAGGACUAUAACCUCUAAUCAGAGCGCCAUUAUCCACGAUAUAUUCUCAAAUUGCAGCCUUCCAUUAUUUUCAAGGGUAAUGUUGGAAGAAAUUCUCACUUGGAAAUCGUAUACCACAGUCAGCUUAAAUAUGGUUUCCUCUUCAUUGAAGGAGGCUCUAAACAACUUCUUCCGGCGAUUAGAAUUGCAUCAUGGGAGAGUCUUGGUCAGACACGCGCUUGCCUAUAUUACUGCAGCUAGAGAGGGACUUUCAGAAAUGGAGCUGCUUGAUUUGUUGUCCCUGGACGAUGAAGUGCUUAACUCAAUAUUUCUGUUCUGGUUGCCCCCGAUACGCAGAAUCCCUCCAUUUCUGUGGACAAGACUUCGUCUCGAACUUGGUGUUUUUCUCGUCGAACGUGACGCAGGUAAUGUUGAAGUGUUUAACUGGUAUCACAGAAUGUUCAAAGAGGCUGCAGCUGAACGAUACUUGGUUGACGAAGAGAUAAAGGUUAAAAUACACAAAAAUAUCGCAGAAUAUUUUCUUGGCACUUGGAGCGGCAAAGCGAAACCAUUCAGGUACAGCGUUUUCCUCAAGUCAAGAUUGGCUCUUACAACGGAUGAUGGCGCCGAGGACAGGAAUGUCCCUGCGCAUGCUCUAGUCCUGUGUCGCAGUAAAAAAGGAACUUUGUACAAUAAACGCAAGUUAACAGAAUUACCGUUCCAUCUGAUAAAAUGUGGGAACAAACAGGAACUUUUUGAUAAAUGUCUCUUCAGUUAUAAUUGGUUGUGGACAAAAAUUACCACGUCUGGGUUGCAGUUUGUUGUUGAAGAUUUUGAGUUGGCCUUGACGGUGUUCGAGGACACUGAGAUACAGGCACUUGCAGACACUUUGAGAAUUGCUGGAGUUACACUCGAUGAUUAUCCAGAGAACCUAGCUUUAGAGGUAACGGGCCGUCUGAUCGAUAUGAUCAACACAAUGCCAAAAAUACGUGAUCUUCUUCACAAAUGUGACGAGCAAGGCAUAGUGCACUCGUCGGUUGUUGUUCCAGUGCAGAUGUACGAAGUUCCAAUUAGUUCGCUUACUAGGUCAAUUGAAGGCGCCACGGCCGAUAAUGGAGACAACCUGCUUUUGCGGAAAGAUACUAGGGUUGUCUCGAUUUGCCUAAAUGGCAGCGUACAGUCUUGGGAUACCAGCAAAGGUACCCUCGUAAAUGAAGUAUCUCUACCAAAGAUGAAGUCCGAGUGCUACCACCAGUUUGGCUUAUACCCCAGCCGGGAUGAAAGAUAUAUCGUCUGUGAGUGCCGACCAGGUAGUCAGUAUAUUUACACUUUGGAAACAGAUAGUCUGCGAAUUGUAAACGAACACAAACUGUCUUCUGCCAAUAUCUUUCAUGAUAUUACAGUGAGCCGGAACUAUGUGUGUAUGGAUAACGCCGUGUACGAGAUCCAUCAUGGUAAAAAGGUCCGCGAUCUAAACAAUUACAGAAAAGUGAAUGCCUAUGUCCAGCUUGCGGUCACACAGUGUGAAAAGUACAUCUUGAUAGGCGAUGGGUCUCUUGACAUGUAUAAAAUUUAUACAGGCAAACGCGUAAAGCAACUUCCGGUGACGAAUUGUGUUAGCUGUAUUCAACUGACGUCUGAUGGAAGACUGGCCAUAAUUGGUUCGACAGUUGACUGCGCAAUCAAAAUAUUUGAUGUAAACGACUUAUCGAAGACGUUUGGGGAAGAAGUGGUUACGUACAAUCCACAGAGCUCAUUUCCGGAAGAAAUUAUGUCGGCUGAUAGUUACGCGUCACAAGAAGUCUCCGAACUGAGUUUGUCAAAUAAAGAGGGAGCUUUCGUCAGUUUAGUAAAACGAAAGUAUCCUAUUAUAUGGAGUCUUAAAAACGUCAGCACAAAACCGAGGCUACUUAAAAUAUCAAAAGGCCCGAAUCCAUUCCGAUAUCUUUUUCAAGUCCAGUUUUCGGCAGACGAUAAGUUUAUCUUGGCAGCAGAGUUAUCGCCCAACAUAAUGAUGUGGGAUUCCAUCAGCGGAAACUUGGUGGCUGUAUUUCAGGCUCAUGGAAAUGAUAUUCAUGAUCUAGUCGUAGGGCGGAAUAGUUCUGUGGCAAUUACCGCACAGCAGAACGGUUCAGUGAUCAAUGUUUGGGAUAUCCAGAAAGUGCUUACAAUGGAAAAGAUGUCGUCUGUCAAGCAGCAAGAAUAUUCUGUGAAAAAUAUAGCAUUCUCAAAUCAAAGUAACAUUAUAUUUCUGACUCGCGUUCAACCGCCAAAAAGCAGUAAAGCUUACCACUAUAUUGAUUACUUUGGGGUAGAAAUAAUUGAUCUUGCCAGCGGAAAAGCAGGGACACUGCUUCCGUUUGAUAGAUACGGACAUGUUUUAAGUAUUGCCAACUCAAAGGAUGCAUCUGUCGUUGUAGUCUGCACCGGAAACGCUCAGUCGAAUUCGAUUUCUGUCAUUAACAUUGAGACUGGAAAACUGCUCAAAACGAUGUCAGUGCCAGGAUGUAAAAGUGUGAAACUUUCAAGAAGGGGAGAUUACAUGUGUAUUCUUAUGGAGGAAAAGGCAGAACUCUAUUCCGUCCCCGCCUUUGAAGUUGUUGGGAAAUUUGACGAUUGCACAAGUGGAAUGUUUACAAAAACGAAUGCUUUUGUAGGGAUUGGGCCUUCACAGUUACUGAUCCAGGAAUCGAUGGAAGACGACGAGACGCUGACUAUUGACCUCGCUGGUGACGUCAUUGCAAUUCACUACUGUGAGGUCAUUGAUCUGAUCCUUAUUACUGUGGACGAUGGAUUGCAGGUUGUUGUGACAGCAUUUAAAACAGAGGGAUUUGGUGCUAUAGGAUCCCUCACGGAAGUAAGCCGUGACGGCAUAAAUGAUAUAGCUGAUGAUGGAUCAAUAUGCAUUGACUCGGAACUACAGGUUUUUGAACUUGAGCGAUGCAAACGUAUAAAGAAACUUCUGCCAAAUUCAAGUAAGGGUGACGUGACUUGCGUCCGGCUAUCGAGCAAGGGAGAGCAUGCUGUGUUUAUUGAUACUAUACCGGCGCCGUGUGUGAAAGUAUGCCGCAUCAGUGAUAGCCAGAUAGUUGCAAAAUGUUUUCUACACUGUGUUCCAGAGUUCCUUGAAGUAGUUCCAUCAAUGAAUCUCAUCGUGGUUAUUGGUAAAGACAAUAAGAAACUAUUUGUGCUAGCUUUACGUGACCAUGACCGGAAGUACAAGUAUACAAACAUGGAGGAUCGUCUGGCACAAAUUCUCGGUGUCAAAUCAAUGAGAGAUAUAUCGAAAUUUGAACUUCCAGAGAAAGUCAGAGAGGCGUUAAAGGAAAAUACAAAAUCAGAACAGAUAAAACACAUAACUCUGAAUGAAAAUGAAAUGAAUGUUAUAGGUAGACAGGGGACAGUGGUGUAUAAAAAGAAAACUGUAAAAAAGUCAAGCUCAUGUAGGCUGUUGUGAUAAAAAUGUGACUUAUUGCAAAAUGCAAGCUCACUGCCAACUGGUGUAUUAUACAGUAUAUCAACAGGUUAUGACAAAGGUAUAGGAUCAAGGAACGGUAAGGGCGUUUUUGAAUGCCUCAAUCAUGUAGUUUUAAAAGAAAAUCGAGUAACUAGAUCUAACACUAAAAGAAAGUAUUUGAGCAAAUUUUAAAUGUAAAUUUUACUAAAUUAAAAUGAUUUAUGUUACUGUUCUACAUUGUUUAGGAAAAUUCUUGUCAGGUAAUGCAUUUUGUUUUCCUAUCUUUGAAAACGCCCUCGCGCACCAAUACUAGUUUAUUUAUAGCGGUUCAGUUAUACUUACAAUGUCGAAUAUUUCUAGGAAGCUAGUGUAAAUUGUGCAAAAUACACUUCAUGUUACGUCUGUCAAAUUUUACAUUUGUCAACUAUGUCAUAUCUCCUGUCCUACAUUAUGCUAUUUAUCGCAUGUCUUUCAUUUAAAUCUUCAUUAGCAUUCACCAUCAAAUCGAGGAACUGUUUUACGGGUAACCACUUCCGUAUUGUUGACCAGUGGCAAGUAACUGUGAUCUUAUGCCUAUUUAUAUUUAACACAUGAACUGCAUGCACACACUGAUAUUCAGAAAAAUCAAAAAUCAUUGCCAGUUUGAUUGGUUAUUGGACACAUAAUGAUAAUUUACAUUUUCCAUUCGAUUAGUAUUCUCCGUAUGCGAUAUUGGUAUUAUCCGGUUAUUUUGGCCGAAAGAUGCCGAAAAAUUAUACGUAGGCGAUUUCGGCAUUAUCCGGUUGUUACGGAAUAGUGAUUUUGGCAGGAUGCCGAAAAAUUAUACGUAUGCGAUUUCGGCAUUACCCGGUUGUUAUGGAAUAGUGAUUUUGGCAGGAUGCCGAAAAAUUAUACGUAUGCGAUUUCGGCAUUACCCGGUUGUAACGGAAUAGCGAUUUUGGCAGGAUGCCGAAAAAAUAUACGUAUGCGAUUUCGGCAUUACCCGGUUGUUACGGAAUAGCGAUUUUGGCAGGAUGCCGAAAAAUUAUACGUAUGCGAUUUACCCUGUUGUUACGGAAUAGCGAUUUUGGCAGGAUGCCGAAAAAUUAUACGUAUGAGGUUUCGGCAUUACCCUGUUGUUACGAAAUAGCGAUUUUGGCAGGAUGCCGAAAAAUUAUACGUAUGCGAUUUCGGCAUUACCCUGUUGUUACGGAAUAGCGAUUUUGGCAGGAUGCCGAAAAAUUAUACGUAUGCGAUUUCGGCAUUACCCUGUUGUUACGGAAUAGCGAUUUUGGCAGGAUGCCGAAAAAUUAUACGUAUGCGAUUUCGGCAUUACCCUGUUGUUACGGAAUAGCGAUUUUGGCAGGAUGCCGAAAAAUUAUACGUAUGCGAUUUCGUCAUUACCCUGUUGUUACGGAAUAGCGAUUUUGGCAGGAUGCCGAAAAAUUAUACGUAUGAGGUUUCGGCAUUACCCUGUUGUUACGAAAUAGCGAUUUUGGCAGGAUGCCGAAAAAUUAUACGUAUGCGAUUUCGGCAUUACCCUGUUGUUACGGAAUAGCGAUUUUGGCAGGAUGCCGAAAAAUUAUACGUAUGCGAUUUCGUCAUUACCCUGUUGUUACGGAAUAGCGAUUUUGGCAGGAUGCCGAAAAAUUAUACGUAUGUGAUUUACCCUGUUGUUACGGAAUAGCGAUUUUGGCAGGAUGCCGAAAAAUUAUACGUAUGCUAUUUCGGCAUUAUUCGGUUUCAAUAUUUAUGUCCACAAAUUCCGAAUUGCAUUCUGAGAAUACGAAAUAAUACGGAAAUUGCCGAUUGUGAUUACCAUCGUAUUUGUACUCUGUAUACAAAAUCAUUUGGAUUUAUUGUCUGGCGUUUCUUUUGUUCUUCAGAACUGCAGAAAACUGAACGUUUGCAUUUAUAUAUUUGGUCAUUUACUACAUAAUUUAGUUUUGUAUUGUAAAUAUGCUAUAGGUUAUAUUACUUGUUACAUUAUUUUGUAUAAUUUUAGCUACUAAGAUUAAACAACGCACAAUCUUGUAUAUUGCAUAUUUGAUAUAUAUUUUCUAUAUAAAUUCGACACAGUGUACGGGUUUUUUCAGUUGAGGACCAUUUAUGUUUGCAUAUGUGAACCCGUAUGCCACCUUAAAUCUCAGUCUGUCUAAUAACAAAAACACUAUUCUUUUCUUACCUCCCAUAAGUUUCUAACAUUUUCAUUUAUUAAAAGAUGGGUCACAUUGUCUCCCCCUAAAUUUAUGUGGAGGGUCAGUUAAUUUUGUUGUCCGGUUUGGCUAGAAAAGGUGGUCGACAAAACAUAUUGAUAAUUGUGUUUGUUAGUGACCCUCUGGUCGACAAAACAUACCACAUACUAGGUUUGUUAGUGACCCUCUGGUCGACAAAACAUACCACAUACUAGGUUUGUUAGUGACCCUCCAGUCGAUAAAUCAUACUACAUACUAGGUUUGUUAGUGACCCUCAACGGAAAUAUGUGAGGCCAGUAUGAUAAAUUUUGGACUCGCCCCAAACUUAUAACAUUGACCUCAUAUAUUUCUGCGGAUGGUCAUUAACAAACCCAGUAACUAGUGCUUGAAUAGUCGGAUGUAUUGUAAAUUUAAUUAUUUAUAAAUGAAGCUAUCUGUGAUAAUAGAUAUCAAUAAUAAAAAUUUGAA
rnacentral:misc_RNA from 1 species